GUCCACGCUAUAAACGAUGAGGGCUGGGUGUUGGUUCCAUUUGGAAUCAGUGCCGAAGCAAACGCGUUAAGCCCUCCGCCUGGGGACUACGAUCGCAAGAUUAAAACUCAAAGGAAUAGACGGGGGCCCCGCACAAGCAGCGGAGCGUGUGGUUCAAUUCGAUGCAACACGAAGAACCUUACCAGGGCUUGACAUGUAGGUGGUAGGGAAGGAAACCGGACCGACCCGCAAGGGAGCCUGCACAGGUGCUGCAUGGCUGUCGU
rnacentral:rRNA from 1 species